rnacentral:rRNA from 1 species
GGACUACCAGGGUUUCUAAUCCUGUUUGCUCCCCUAGCUUUCGCAGCUCAGCGUCAGUAAUGUGCCAGGUGCCUGCUUUCGCCAUAGGUGUUCCUCCCGAUCUCUACGCAUUUCACCGCUACACCGGGAACUCCAGCACCCUCUCACACACUCAAGCCCGGUAGUAUCCAUUGACCGCUCCCAGUUAAGCCGGGAGAUUUCACAAUGGACUGACCGAGCCGCCUACCUGCCCUUUACGCCUAGUAAUUCCGAGUAACGCUAGCCACCUUCGUCUUACCGCGGCUGCUGGCAC